rnacentral:tRNA from 1 species
GAGGAUGUAGCUUAGUGGUGUAGCAUAUGCUUAGCAUAUGCAAGACUCUGGGUUCAAUCCCAGGCACCCCCG